CACUGAGCUGCCCUCUAGCCUUUCUUAUUUUAUUUUGAGAUAGGGUCUUGCUGAGGCUGGCCUCCAGCUUGUGAUCCUUCUACCUCAGCCUCCCUAGUCGCUGGGAUCCUCAGCAAGCGCCACUGCGUUCAACUGGGAAAUGAUUUCAAAGAACUCCUCUAGCUGCUGAGAACCACCUUGUGGGUAGAGACCUGGGACAGGGCUGGGCUAUGGCCCUGAGAGUGCUGGCCCAGCUUCCCCAGCUCGGGCCCAUCCCCAGCCCGCCACAGGACAGGAGCAGAGGCAGAGAUGUGUAGUGCGGACCUUACUGUCCCCCAAAGCUGGUGUCACCCUUGAAGGCUUGGACCCCAGCCUGUGGCACCAUUGGGAGGUAGUGGGCCCUUCAGGGGACAGGGACUCUUCCUCCCAUCUUUUCUUUGCAGCUGCCAUAAGGUGAGCGGCUCCCCUGCCGUGAUGUACAGGAAGGACCCGGUGACUGUGGACCGCGGAGCCACACCAAGCCUUUCCUCUGGACCUUGCUGUGUCAGGUGUUGUGUCUCCGCGGUGACCCACCGAGCUAACCCAGAAGAAGGACAUGUGGAAUACCACGCUGCCACUGAGACCCGGGGAUCCCCGCUGAGUUCUGCUGAGGACUGAGAGCCAUCCCAGUGGCCUGGUGGGCCAGAGGGAGGACAGUGCCCAGUAAGUGGACUGUGUGCCACCAGGGGCGCAGCACCCGGGACCUGGAGGGAGGCCACCCCACGAGGCCGAGGCCCCGGGCCUCCCUUGUCUGAGGGAGGCUCCCCUGUGGGGAGGCUGGCUCUGGCCAUCGAGGUCUCCAGGAGGAAUGCAGGAGAUGGGUGUGGAAGCAUCUGGAGAAGGCCGAGGGGCCAAGCCAGAGCCACAGUGCCAGCCACAGCAACGCAGGCUCGCUGUGAACUCGGGCCUCGGUUGGCAAGGGGCGCACUGGAGAGUCGGCAGAAGUCAGCUGGAGCCAGCAGCCGGGAGCUUUGAUUGAGGACCCCCCCCCCCCAACGGGCUACUAUAGCUACUUCUCUGGAUUUUCCCAUUUUUACAAUGAAAUCGUAUUAUUAUUUACUUAUUUGUUUAUUUUGGCACCAAGGAUUGAACCCAGGGCCCUUAACCACUGAGCCACACCCCAGCCCUUUUAAAAUAUUUUACUCAGAGACAGGGUCUUGCUGAGUUGCCUAGGGCCUCACUAAGUGGCUGAGGCUUUGAACUUGUGAUCCUCCUGCCUCAGCCUCCGAGCUGCUGGGUUUACAGAUGUGCAUCACCACGCCUGGCCUGAAAUCCUAUUAUUUUGAUAAUAAACGAGCCGCUCAGACAAAAUCAGGCAGAAAUUAAACGAAUGGAGAGCUCUGCCACGUUCAGCCCUGACCAACCCUGCAAGCUGUUUUGGGGGGAAGCUGAAAAACGAGUUUUAUUUGUGUGGAGAGGCAGAGGACCUAGAACACCCAGGUAUCUUGAAAGAGAGCAGUUGGAGGACUCACGCGCCAGGUGUCAAGCUCUGUGGCAGUGCGGUGGCCGACAGUGCACAUUGGCAAGAGGGGACAGGGAGACCCUGGGCGCCGCGGCCCGUUUCUGUGGUCCUUGGUUCUCAGCGGAGGUGCUAAUGCAGGGCCCAGGGCAGGACUUUCUUUCCAACAAAUGGCCUGAAGCUGCUAGAUACCCACGUGGAGACCAAGGGACCUGGCCACCCCACCAGACUCAGCCUGAGGUGGGGCCCACUGCCAAGGCCGAAGCUGGAACCACAAACCCCCCGGGAGAAGAAAUCAGGGGAAUGGGCCUUUGACUUGGGGGUAGGCACAGCUGUUCAGAAAGGACACAGAACCAUACAAGGAAAUCGGACUCAUUGGAUCACAUCAAAAUUAAAAAUUCUGCUCAUUAAGAAAUAAAUAGGCCACGG
rnacentral:lncRNA from 1 species